UGUACACAGAAAGCAGGGUGCCCUGCAUGGCUGAGAUCAGUGAGGGAAGGCUCUAGUCUAUUGUUAGUAAUCAAGUCGCACAGCGAGACUUCCAGAAGUCCCUGGUUUCAGCCCUGCCCUUCGCAGACAGCCCUGUACCCAGCCGCUUCUCCGGUCAAUGCAGGAGGGGGAGAACGCCCUCCCUCCUGUGCAGGGGCACAGGCACAGCUGGGAUAAAGACUUGCUUUCAUCCUCCCGGAAACCUGCUCUUGAAUUAUUUCCAGGUGUGUGGGCUCCGGAGGUCCUGUAAGUCUACUUGGGGUUCUUAUCUUGAAGUGUGGACAGAGCAGUUGUUUUUAAAGAAAAGGCCAUCAGCACUCAGAGUUGUUAAUGGAGAGGAGCAGGAGACCAGCAGCUGAUAAAAACCAGCAGCUGCAGCAAUGGCUGGCACAUGUGUGAUUUUUCUUUUAAGACAAAAGAUGUUAAUGUAGGAGCUGUUUUUUCCUAAACGAACACCUCAGCAUUCAGGUUUAAUCGCAGAAUGGGCACUAUGCGAUAAAUAUGUGGGUUUGGGUUGAGUUUGGGCGCUCAUUUCGGAAAGGUUGGCCAUCAUUGCCCUAGUUCAGCACAAGAUAACAGCAGAAGGUUGAGGCCAGCAGUGGCAGUGAGCAGCAGCUGGCUGUGUCACCUGUUGGCAUCUAGCAUUAUCCUGUGUCAUCUGGUGGCAUCAGCACUGCUGGCAGAGCUGCACUUUACAAACCCACGAUUUCCAUCUGAACUGAGCAGAAGUGCACUGGGCUAAUGGCAACCGAACAGAAGUACCCAGGCCUCAAGGGUGUGUAAGCCUCAAAGGCCGCAGACAUCCGCAGGAAGUCCCUGUAAGGAAGCAGCGUGGUGCAGCAGAGUAUCUGAGGAACGGCGUGGUCUGCCUGGGCCACGAAUUGGGACUGGACCGGGCUCGAGGCCCCAAGCACCUCAGAACUUCUGCUGCGCAAGCAGACGGGCUUCAGCAGGUACCGAGGUCGCCGAGCACAGCCAGGGAACACAGCGCCCAGGAAGAGCCCCUGCCACACGUAGGGACCGAAGAGCAGUCUCAGUGGAAACCGAAAAAACAAACAGCUGGCACGCGAAUACACGCAGCGUAAGAUAAGCGCAAGUAAGAUGUUAAAAGUGACGGCAGGGAAAUGCUCACCUCGUUUUAAGUGAAGACAACCUACUAUUUUACAUAGUUUAUGGUUUUAAAAUAAGACUACAGAAACAGACGGGAAACUAAAUCUAGCAGAUUCUCGAGGAACCGCACGACGCAGCCCACCACAACCCUUGGCCCCGCCCUCUUGCUCCUCCGCCCUCACGCUACUGGCUGCCCGCAGGCUAGACACGCCUACUCCGGCUCCGCCCCCUUGUCUUCGGAGACCCAGGGGAGCUGGGGUUCUGGCACCGAGUAGCGCUGGCUCUUUCCCAGCAGACAACCUGAGUCUUCUGAUUGGUCCUGGGCGGUCGUGGCGUGAUGACGUCGCGUCCUCGGGCGGUGUUCGCGGCCGGGUGCGGGGUUUGGGCUAACUGUCUCUGGUGGGGCUGUCGGUGCUCUGGCGUCCUGGGCAUCUGGGCAGCCCCACGCGCGGCAGCGGGAGCAGACUGGGACAGCGGAGCGGAGCGAGCACGGGCAGGCGGCUUCCCAGCACUGCCUCAGGCUCAAGGCUCCUCCGCGACCCGGGAGUAGGCUGUGGCGGAGGGUCAGGUCGAGUUCGCGCGCCUUUAUCUGCCUUAGAUUUGGUGAAAGUAUCGCGGCUUUGAAGAUAACCGUCUCUCACAGGCUUGGCUGAUGAUGUUUACAUUUUUAAGAUGAGUAUGUUUUCGUGAGCCCUCAGGGUUUCCAUGAAACGUCCACCUGGAGACGUCUGCUUUCCUCAGUGGCUGUUCUGUAGCCGAUUCCUGCGACCCGAAUGUCCUUUGUUUCUGGUUCUUGAAAUACAUUUUUAAUUAUUCGAAUUAGAGAUUUUAACUUAAAACAGAAGACAUGCAUGCCAUUAAAAAUGCAAAGUUAAGAUAGUCAACAACCAGUGCCUUAGCCCCACAUUAAAAUCCUGGAAGCCAGGCUCUAGCGGCAGCCGUUUCGGUUUUUGGCCAGUGCUUCCAGAAAGUCCACGCAUAUAGUUACACAUUGGGGUGUCACUUUUUUUCAACUCUCAAUUGUAAAAUGACGUUAGAAACAGUCCACAGCCCCUUGUGCAAUUCUUGGAAUGUCCGUGGUGCCUGUGAUAAGUGUAAAUAUCCUUCAAAGAAUGAGCUUUACAUUUCUAACAAUCAGAGGAUCUGAUUGUCCCAUAUGCAUAUCACAUAAAGUUUUACCCCUUGUUUUUAAGCCUCCCAUGGCGACAUAAUUACCGAAGAGUCACUUACUGGGGACAUUUAGGGCACUCAGUUUUCCUAUCACAAAGAAUGCUGUGACCAAUGACCUUGUGUGAACGUUCCCACAGGCUCAGACGGAUGCCCCUUGGCACAGAAACAAGGUGCUUUCCCUUUAGCACAAGGGAGAAAGCUGGGGGGAGCAGGACUCCGAGACUGAUCCAAACCAAGGGCAAAGGUGUACAGAUUUUAUGGCACCUGUGGGGUAGGAGGGUCUUGAUUCCAUCACACAUGCAGACAGCUCCAGUUGUGCUGAAGCUCUCUGUCAUAGUCCUUCAAGCGAGAGUUUCAUUGCUGUAAUCUUCACCUGGGUAUGAUUAUUUUUUAACUGCUAAUUAAGGUAACUACAGUUUACUUUAGAGCCUCCUCCAAGCACACUGCUAUCCUUGCCACCUGGAGUCUGCCCCUUUCAUGUGGGAAGUUACUAAUUGGGUUUUGGAGCAGGGCAGCUCACUCCCCAGCCUCCAUGGGUUUAAUUUUAAUGGUCUUGUUUUUCUCUGCUCUUAUUUCUUGGAAUCUCUGUGUAGUCUUUGAAGGCUGAAUAGCUUCAGUCCUCCCAUCUUGGUGUGGUGCGUUAUCCUCACUCUGUAGCCUUGCAGACGUUGGCUUUUUUUUUUAAUCCCCAUGAGACUGAGCUAGGCUAGCUGUCUCACAUAUGGCAGGUCCUUCUGAAAGAAUUUUGCCCUAGAUAGGAUAUUACAGCAGUGGGAGGCAAGACCAAGGGACAUUUACCUUGAGGUCCCUUUCCCCGCCCCUUUGCAACUUACGUGUGGUGCAAAAAGAGUCCCAAUCAACUAAGUGCAUCAGCAAUGCCACCUUUAAGCACCACCCCAGUUGGAAACUAUAUGUAUGCCCCCUACACUAUUUGUCCAGCAAGGAAAGCCAGACCCCUAGGGGUCAUGGGGUUUCUCUCCAUGUUCUUAGACUAAAGGCCAUUUUUACUUUAUAGUCUCUCUUUUUCGGUGCAGAAAAUCCUAUCAUUUGGUUCCCUGACCAGGAAGGCAGCAUGACUCCUGGGGUCCUCCCAGUUUGAGUCUCCCUGCCAAUUCACUGACUGGACCACAUCUUGGAUUAAUUCCUCAUUUAUCAACACGUGGGAGCUGCUCAACUUGUGGACACCAGCCUGCAAACAACACCGGCCUAAUUAAUUUACCUCAGCAGUGGCACUUGGGGCUCCCAAGACAGUAAAGCCAAAACAAGGUGGAGCUGCCUGAGCCCCUCCCAGACCAUGCUUCAAGUGCAGCAAAGAAGGACAUUGGGCAAGAGAAAGCACCAGUCUUGGAAUUCAUCACUGACUGACUUGUCCCCAAUAAGUCUAACAUGUGGGCAUUCACCAAUGAUAAAGCUGUCCUGGCUGAAACACCUGGCACCAGCCUCUGCAUGGGCAUCAACUGUCAUCCCAUCAACCUUCCUAAUCCCCAAUACGAUACCCCCUUUCAGCAGGAAGUAGUAAGAGAGAGAGAGACUUCGCCCUUUUCCUAACAAUAAAAAGAUGGGAAUGAAAGGAUUCUGCCCUAGAUAGGAUAUUAUAGCAGUGGGAGGCAGGACCAAGGCAUGUUUAGCUUGAGGUCACUUUCCCCUCACCUAUCCAACUUACCUGUGACAUGAAAAGAGUCCCAAUCAGCUAUUCACGCAUCAGCAAUGCCACCUUAAGCACCAUCUCAGUCAGAAACUAUAUGUAUGCCCCCUGCACCACAUGUCCAGUAAAGAAAGCCAGACUCCCAGUGGUCAUGGGGUUUCUCUCCGCGUUCUUAGAAUAAAGGCCACUUUAUUUAUUUA